UACGUAGGGGGCAAGCGUUGUCCGGAUUUAUUGGGCGUAAAGAGCGUGUAGGCGGUUUGGUAGGUCCGCUGUGAAAACUCGAGGCUCAACCUCGAGACGCCGGUGGAGACCAUCAGACUAGAGUCCGGAAGAGGAGAGUGGAAUUCCUGGUGGUAGCGGUGAAAUGCGCAGAUAUCAGGAGGAACAGCCGGUGGCGAAGGCGGGUCUCUGGGCCGGUACCGACGCUGAGGAGCGAAAGCGUGGGGAGCGAACAGG
rnacentral:rRNA from 1 species